ACCCCAGGCCCUGGUACACAGCAGGCAGAGAUGGGUUUCACCAUGGUGAUCAGGAUGGUCUCGAACUCCUGACCUCAAGUGAUCCACCCACCUUGGCCUCCCAAAGUGCUGGGAUUACAGGCCUCCAGGCGGGCACGCAUCUUUGUUGUGUUCUCUGCUGACUAUAUCCUCAGCACCUAGAACUGUGUCUGUCACCUAAUAGAUGCUCAAUAAACCUGCCAGUAAUUUCAGCAAAUGAAACGUGGAACACGUCAAGGCCAGAGGAUGGAAAAGGCUCCAGUUUUGAUAAAAGGAGGCCUGCUUGGCUUGGAAUCCUCUCUCCUGCUGGUUGGGAGAUGCAAAGAUGUUUCCAGAGAGGGGCUGAUGAAUUGAGGGGAAAGAAAUGAGCCCAGUAUGAGUCCCCUUUCAGGGCUGAGCGUGUAUAAAACCAAACAACUUGGAACCGCUCCAAGAGAGGGGAUUAAAGCAACAUGUUAUUCUGA
rnacentral:lncRNA from 1 species